UGUAGGUAUCUGCCCUUUGGCCUGGAAUAACACGAGGAAACUUGUGCUAAUACCGGAUAAGUCUUUACGGAGAAAGCUUUAUGCACCAUUGGAUGAGCCUGCACUUGAUUAGUUUGUUGGUGGGGUAAUGGCCUACCAAGACUGUGAUCAAUAGCUGAUUUGAGAGGAUGAUCAGCCACAUUGGGACUGAGACACGGCCCAAACUCCUACGGGAGGCAGCAGUGGGGAAUCUUGCACAAUGGAGGAAACUCUGAUGCAGCGAUGCCGCGUGAGUGAAGAAGGCCCUUGGGUUGUAAAGCUCUUUCGUCGGGGAAGAAAAUG
rnacentral:rRNA from 1 species